rnacentral:rRNA from 1 species
GACGAAGGGGGCUAGCGUUGUUCGGAUUUACUGGGCGUACAGGGAGCGUAGGCGGUUGGAUAAGCCCUCCGUGAAAUCUCCAGGCUUAACCUGGAAAGUGCAGAGGGGACUGUUCAGCUAGAGGAUGGGAGAGGAGCGCGGAAUUCCCGGUGUAGCGGUGAAAUGCGUAGAGAUCGGGAGGAAGGCCGGUGGCGAAGGCGGCGCUCUGGAACAUUUCUGACGCUGAGGCUCGAAAGCGUGGGGAGCAAACAGG